ensembl:snoRNA small nucleolar RNA SNORD35
UGCAAAUGAUGUCUUUCUCACGAUGGUCUUCCAAACCGCAGGGUUCUGACGACACUGCCUAAUGGCAAUACUGAUGCAGUCAG